rnacentral:rRNA from 1 species
UACGUAGGGUGCAAGCGUUAAUCGGAAUUACUGGGCGUAAAGCGUGCGCAGGCGGUGAUGUAAGACAGAUGUGAAAUCCCCGGGCUCAACCUGGGAACUGCAUUUGUGACUGCAUCGCUGGAGUGCGGCAGAGGGGGAUGGAAUUCCGCGUGUAGCAGUGAAAUGCAUAGAUAUGCGGAGGAACACCGAUGGCGAAGGCAAUCCCCUGGGCCUGCACUGACGCUCAUGCACGAAAGCGUGGGGAGCAAACAGG